rnacentral:misc_RNA from 1 species
GAUGAAGAACGUAGCGAAAUGCGAUAAGUAAUGUGAAUUGCAGAAUUCAGUGAAUCAUCGAAUCUUUGAACGCACAUUGCGCCCGCCAGUAUUCUGGCGGGCAUGCCUGUUCGAGCGUCAUUUCAACCCUCAAGCCCCGGCUUGGUGUUGGGGAUCGGCGAGGCUGGUUUUCCAGCACAGCCGUCCCUUAAAUUAAUUGGCGGUCUCGCCGUGGCCCUCCUCUGCGCAGUAGUAAAACACUCGCAACAGGAGCCCGGCGCGGUCCACUGCCGUAAAACCCCCCAACUUUUUAUAGUUGACCUCGAAUCAGGUAGGACUACCCGCUGAACUUAAGCAUAUCAAUAAGCGGAGGA